AUGCAUUGGGAUGAAGCAAUCCAUGGGUCUUAAGAAAAGAUAGGCAAGUUGGAGUACUGGAGGACUUUUAAAUGCCCUCCUCUACUAUGUUGUUGGAUUCUUUAAAAAAAUGUCGAUGGGUGCAUGUUGGAUCCUUCAAAAAUAAUACAUUUUUUAAGGAUCCGACAUGAAUACGACAACAUUUCUGGAGAGUCUAAGCAACAUAGCGCCUCCAUAUACAAAUUUAAGUCUGCUCAUACUUUGCAAAAUUCUCUGCUAGAAUUCCAGAAAAUGCAUGUGGAAUCAUGAUCAAAAAAAGUAGCAAGGGAUAUUGGCAAAAGCAUGGCAAACCGGCAAGUCACAAAACGGCAAUUAUGGACUCCGUUUUGGAGUCUU
rnacentral:sRNA from 1 species